rnacentral:rRNA from 1 species
GAGCGAACGCUGGCGGCAUGCCUAACACAUGCAAGUCGAACGAGACCUUCGGGUCUAGUGGCGCACGGGUGCGUAACGCGUGGGAACCUGCCCUUAGGUUCGGAAUAACUCCCCGAAAGGGGUGCUAAUACCGGAUAAUGUCUUCGGACCAAAGAUUUAUCGCCUUUGGAUGGGCCCGCGUUGGAUUAGCUAGUUGGUAGGGUAAAAGCCUACCAAGGCGACGAUCCAUAGCUGGUCUGAGAGGAUGAUCAGCCACACUGGGACUGAGACACGGCCCAGACUCCUACGGGAGGCAGCAGUGGGGAAUAUUGGACAAUGGGCGAAAGCCUGAUCCAGCAAUGCCGCGUGAGUGAUGAAGGCCUUAGGGUUGUAAAGCUCUUUUACCCGGGAUGAUAAUGACAGUACCGGGAGAAUAAGCUCCGGCUAACUCCGUG